rnacentral:rRNA from 1 species
UACGGGGGAUGCAAGCGUUAUCCGGAAUUAUUGGGCGUAAAGGGUAGGUAGGUGGUCUCAUUUGUCGGGGGUGAAAUCCUUGGGCUUAACCCAAGAAGUGCCUUCGAAACGGUGAGACUGGAGUCCUGGAGAGGGUCGCGGAAUUCCCGGUGUAGCGGUGAAAUGCGCAGAUAUCGAGGAGACACCGGUGGCGAAGGCGGGUCUCUGGGCAGUAACUGACGCUGAGAGCGAAAGCGUGGGGGAGCGAACAGG